UUUACUCUCGAACAGCUGUUCGAGGUCACGCAGGACAAUGACUCGGUGGAACCAAAAUCUAAGGUUGACCGAUGCUGUUGGUGGAGGUAUCGGUUCGGCCGUCAUCGUAAGAACCGGGUCCAGAUAAGAACUACUGGGCAGGGCACAUCAACUCGAAAAACGCGUCGCGACUGGAACCCGAGAAUCAUUAAUGUGGCAUUUGCACUACAUCACAGGAAGCGUGCACUGUUUAUUUUGAUGUUGAUUCACUUUUGACGUAGGACUAUUUUGUCCGGUUCUGCUGACGGCAUAAAAUAUCGGACGGAGCGUCAAUCUUGAUGUCGGGGAUCUCGCAUGCCUUAAACAGUGCGCUGCUGCGGUUUCGUUAUCAUCGCAGAUUUGUAGC